rnacentral:rRNA from 1 species
AGAGUUUGAUCCUGGCUCAGAACGAACGCUGGCGGCGUGCCUAACACAUGCAAGUCGAACGAGAAAAUUACGCUUCGGGCGUGAGAGUAAAGUGGCGCACGGGUGAGUAACGCGUGGGUAACCUACCCCUUAGACUGGGAUAACCCCGCGAAAGCGGGGCUAAUACCGGAUAUUGUCCCAGGGGCUUUGGUUCUUGGGAUGAAAGGUGGCCUCUUCUUGAAAGCUGCCGUUGAGGGACGGGCYCGCGUACCAUUAGCUWGUUGGUAGGGUAACGGCCUACCAAGGCGACGAUGGUUAGCUGGUCUGAGAGGAUGAUCAGCCACACUGGAACUGGAACACGGUCCAGACUCCUACGGGAGGCAGCAGUGAGGAAUUUUGCGCAAUAGGGGAAACCCUGACGCAGCAACGCCGCGUGAGUGAAGAAGGCCUUCGGGUCGUAAAGCUCUGUCAAGUGGGAAAAAAGUCAACUAGUGAAUAGCUGGGUUUGGGCCUGAUGGUACCACUAGAGGAAGCACCGGCUAACUCCGUGCCAGCMGCCGCGGUAAUA